GCCUCCGUAGCUUAACGGCAGAGCAGCGGUUUUGUAAACCGCAGGUUGUGGGUUCAAGUCCCACCGGAGGCU
rnacentral:tRNA from 1 species